UUGAAGCCAUAUAGAGUACACUGAGCAGUAUACACAGCAGCAGCAGCUAACAAAGAAAAUGGGAACUUGAGCAUUUCGUACUCGACCAGUGCAAGCUCGAUGAAGAAGAAGGAUAGCAUCUCUAGCUGUUUUCAGAUUCAGAAGCCUUAAGGAACCUUUGCAUGAAGACAAAUGGAGUUGGAAAGGACAAGUUGAAUUGCAGUGUUUUUAGCAUCAAUUUCUCCUGCAGGUAUUGGAAGAAAUUUUUUGUUCAACACAUGAGAUUUUUUAAAAAGAUUUCUUAAUAGUUUUUAAAACAAGGAAAGGCACCAUUUCAAGAA